GAACGCUGGCGGCAGGCCUAACACAUGCAAGUCGAGCGCGCCCUUCGGGGUGAGCGGCGGACGGGUGAGUAACGCGUGGGAACGUGCCCUUUUCUACGGAAUAGCCUCGGGAAACUGAGAGUAAUACCGUAUACGCCCUUUGGGGGAAAGAUUUAUCGGAAAAGGAUCGGCCCGCGUUGGAUUAGGUAGUUGGUGGGGUAAUGGCCUACCAAGCCGACGAUCCAUAGCUGGUUUGAGAGGAUGAUCAGCCACACUGGGACUGAGACACGGCCCAGACUCCUACGGGAGGCAGCAGUGGGGAAUCUUAGACAAUGGGGGCAACCCUGAUCUAGCCAUGCCCCGUGAGUGAUGAAGGCCUUAGGGUUGUAAAGCUCUUUCAGCUGGGAAGAUAAUGACGGUACCAGCAGAAGAAGCCCCGGCUAACUCCGUG
rnacentral:rRNA from 1 species